AGAGUUUGAUCAUGGCUCAGAUUGAACGCUGGCGGCAGGCCUAACACAUGCAAGUCGAGCGGUAGCACAGAGAGCUUGCUCUCGGGUGACGAGCGGCGGACGGGUGAGUAAUGUCUGGGAAACUGCCUGAUGGAGGGGGAUAACUACUGGAAACGGUAGCUAAUACCGCAUAAUGUCGCAAGACCAAAGUGGGGGACCUUCGGGCCUCAUGCCAUCAGAUGUGCCCAGAUGGGAUUAGCUAGUAGGUGGGGUAACGGCUCACCUAGGCGACGAUCCCUAGCUGGUCUGAGAGGAUGACCAGCCACACUGGAACUGAGACACGGUCCAGACUCCUACGGGAGGCAGCAGUGGGGAAUAUUGCACAAUGGGCGCAAGCCUGAUGCAGCCAUGCCGCGUGUGUGAAGAAGGCCUUCGGGUUGUAAAGCACUUUCAGCGGGGAGGAAGGCGAUGAGGUUAAUAUCCUCAUCGAUUGACGUUACCCGCAGAAGAAGCACCGGCUAACUCCGUGCCAGCAGCCGCGGUAAUACGGAGGGUGCAAGCGUUAAUCGGAAUUACUGGGCGUAAAGCGCACGCAGGCGGUCUGUCAAGUCGGAUGUGAAAUCCCCGGGCUCAACCUGGGAACUGCAUUCGAAACUGGCAGGCUAGAGUCUUGUAGAGGGGGGUAGAAUUCCAGGUGUAGCGGUGAAAUGCGUAGAGAUCUGGAGGAAUACCGGUGGCGAAGGCGGCCCCCUGGACAAAGACUGACGCUCAGGUGCGAAAGCGUGGGGAGCAAACAGGAUUAGAUACCCUGGUAGUCCACGCCGUAAACGAUGUCGAUUUGGAGGUUGUGCCCUUGAGGCGUGGCUUCCGGAGCUAACGCGUUAAAUCGACCGCCCGGGGAGUACGGCCGCAAGGUUAAAACUCAAAUGAAUUGACGGGGGCCCGCACAAGCGGUGGAGCAUGUGGUUUAAUUCGAUGCAACGCGAAGAACCUUACCUGGUCUUGACAUCCACAGAACUUAGCAGAGAUGCUUUGGUGCCUUCGGGAACUGUGAGACAGGUGCUGCAUGGCUGUCGUCAGCUCGUGUUGUGAAAUGUUGGGUUAAGUCCCGCAACGAGCGCAACCCUUAUCCUUUGUUGCCAGCGGUUAGGCCGGGAACUCAAAGGAGACUGCCAGUGAUAAACUGGAGGAAGGUGGGGAUGACGUCAAGUCAUCAUGGCCCUUACGACCAGGGCUACACACGUGCUACAAUGGCAUAUACAAAGAGAAGCGACCUCGCGAGAGCAAGCGGACCUCAUAAAGUAUGUCGUAGUCCGGAUUGGAGUCUGCAACUCGACUCCAUGAAGUCGGAAUCGCUAGUAAUCGUAGAUCAGAAUGCUACGGUGAAUACGUUCCCGGGCCUUGUACACACCGCCCGUCACACCAUGGGAGUGGGUUGCAAAAGAAGUAGGUAGCUUAACCUUCGGGAGGGCGCUUACCACUCUCUGA
rnacentral:rRNA from 1 species